rnacentral:rRNA from 1 species
GAUGAACGCUAGCGACAGGCUUAACACAUGCAAGUCGAGGGGCAGCAUAAAAGUAGCAAUACUUUGGUGGCGACCGGCGCACGGGUGAGUAACGCGUAUGCAACCUACCUAUCAGAGGGGAAUAACCCGGCGAAAGUCGGACUAAUACCGCAUAAAACAGGGGCACCGCACGGUGAUAUUUGUUAAAGAAAUUCGCUGAUAGAUGGGCAUGCGUUCCAUUAGGUAGUUGGUGAGGUAACGGCUCACCAAGCCGACGAUGGAUAGGGGAACUGAGAGGUUGGUCCCCCACACUGGUACUGAGACACGGACCAGACUCCUACGGGAGGCAGCAGUGAGGAAUAUUGGUCAAUGGGCGAGAGCCUGAACCAGCCAAGUCGCGUGAAGGAAGAAGGAUCUAUGGUUCGUAAACUUCUUUUGCAGGGGAAUAAAGUGCAGGACGUGUCCUGUUUUGUAUGUACCCUGAGAAUAAGGAUCGGCUAACUCCGUGCCAGCCGCCGCAGUAACAC